GACGAACGCUGGCGGCGUGCUUAACACAUGCAAGUCGAACGGAAAGGCCCUGCUUUUGUGGGGUGCUCGAGUGGCGAACGGGUGAGUAACACGUGAGUAACCUGCCCUUGACUUUGGGAUAACUUCAGGAAACUGGGGCUAAUACCGGAUAGGAGCUCCUGCUGCAUGGUGGGGGUUGGAAAGUUUCGGCGGUUGGGGAUGGACUCGCGGCUUAUCAGCUUGUUGGUGGGGUAGUGGCUUACCAAGGCUUUGACGGGUAGCCGGCCUGAGAGGGUGACCGGCCACAUUGGAACUGAGAUACGGCCCAGACUCCUCCGGGAGGCAGCAGUGGGGAAUAUUGCACAAUGGGCGGAAGCCUGAGGCAGCAACGCCGCGUGCGGGAUGACGGCCUUCGGGUUGUAAACCGCUUUCGCAUGUGACGAAGCGUGAGUGACGGUAAUGGGGAAAGAAGCACCGGCUAACUACGU
rnacentral:rRNA from 1 species